CAGCUCUUAUCCCCUUGAUUCAGCUACUGGUAAGGCAAAGGGCGCAACCAGUAGAUGUAGAAAAAAAAAGAAAAAGCAACUUUAAAGCGCCUCUCUCUCUCUCAUUUUAUUGUGACAGAAGAAACCCUCGCUCUAUCUAUUUCUAGAUUAUCUACAAAACCAGGUUUUGUGCUUAGCCAUAUUGAAAAUGGAAAAUGGGGUUGAGAGAGUUGGUGGACUACAAUCAGGAGAGGAAAACAAUGUGGAAAGUCAUGUUUUUGGGGAUAAAAUAGAGGAGAGAGUUGUGGUAGGGUCUGAUGGAUUGAAAGAUUUUGAAGAGGAGGUUUUCGAGGAGGCAGUUGAUUCACAAGAGCAAUUGCAGAACCUGGGUGAAAAAUUCGAAUUUGUGGUCAAUGUUGAGACCAUUGAUAAUUCCAGUUCAGCAGUGGUGGAUGAGAAUUUGACUGUGGGAAAUGAAGUGGAGACUUUCGAGGAGGCUAUUGGUGUUCCUGCUGAGGUUGACAGUCCUGAGGAGUUGGCAUCAGUGAUUAAUGAAAAAAGGGUGGAUGAUUUGUUGGGUGGCGAGAGUGUUGAUAAAAUUGAUGAGGGAGGGACUUCUUUGGUGGGUGGUGAGAGUGUUGAUAAAAUUGACGAGGGAGGGACUUCUUUGGUGGGUGGUGAGGCUGUUGAUAAAAUUGAUGAGGGAGGGAUUACAGCGGAAGAAGGGAGCAAUGAAUUGAAUGAAGAAAAAGAGUUCUCUGAGAUUGGUGGUGAUGGAGGAAUUGAGAAUUUGAAGGAUAUAGUUGAGGUGGAUGUUGAGCUAAGCAGGGAAAUUUCAUCUGGUGAUGGUAACAAAGAAUUGAAGGUGGAUGAAUCGGGUACUGAAUACAAGGACAACGGGGAAUCUGUUGAUGUUCCAGUCCAGCUUCAAGAGGAUGAAGGUCUGCAUGACGAUUUGCCCAAAAUUGAUAAGGUAUCUCACAAUGAGGAAAAUGGAAAAUUGAAAGGUGAUACAAUUGUCCUUGAUUCUGAGAAUGGAGUUCCUGAGACUGAAAAGCAGACUGAUAAUUCAACAAGUUUAGACAUGAAGCACCAUGAUGAUAGCAAUGGAGAUGUGAUUGACGCCCCAGCUCUUGUGGAUUCUGAGCAUCUUGCGGAAACUCACCUGCAGAAUGCUACUGAAGCUGUGCCAUAUACAGAGGAGGAAACAGAGAUGCCAGAAAUUUCUCACUCACACUCGGGGAAGUUGGUGAAUGGGAGUAGUGAAGACAUUCGGGCUGCUGCAGCUCAUCUUAAAGCAGGGGAUAACGAGGAUUCGGAACCACCACGAGCUGAUGAAAAAGUUAAUGGUGUUGGCAAGGACAUUUAUGUGAUUGAAGAGUCAGAAAAGAUAAUAGAAAAAGAUGGCCUGGAUACUGUUGUAAUUGAGGAGCCAGAAAAUGUUCAGGAAGAGAAGCAAAUCACUCAAGGAAAUGGUAAACAAGAAAUUUCACCUCCAGCAAAGCCUGCUUCAUCAUCUGGAAAGUCCACCGGUCCUGCUCCCCCACCUGCUCGCCCAGCUGGCCUUGGGCGUGCAGCCCCACUAUUGGAUCCUGCGCCUAGGGCAGUGCAGCAGCAUCAUCAACGUGUUAAUGGAACUAUGUCUCAUGUGCAAUCUCAGCAGAUUGAAGACCCCACUAGUGGGGAGGGUGAGGAGUACGAUGAAACUCGGGAGAAACUCCAGAUGAUCAGGGUGAAAUUUUUGCGUCUUGCCCAUAGGCUAGGUCAGACUCCCCAUAAUGUUGUUGUAGCACAGGUUCUGUACAGGCUGGGAUUAGCUGAGCAGCUGCGAGGGAGAAAUGGUGGCCGUGUUGGUGCCUUCAGUUUUGAUCGUGCAAGUGCUAUGGCUGAGCAGCUUGAGGCGGCUGGGCAGGAACCCCUUGAUUUCUCUUGUACAAUUAUGGUUCUUGGAAAGACAGGGGUUGGUAAAAGUGCAACCAUCAAUUCAAUAUUUGAUGAAGUAAAGUUUGGUACUGAUGCUUUUCAAUUAGGUACUAAAAAAGUUCAGGAUGUUGUGGGCACCGUUCAAGGGAUUAAGGUACGGGUCAUCGAUACACCAGGUCUGCUUCCUUCUGGCUCUGACCAGCGUCAGAAUGAAAAGAUCCUUCACUCUGUUAAGCGCUUCAUCAAGAAAACUCCUCCAGACAUUGUGUUGUAUCUAGACAGGUUGGACAUGCAGAGUAGGGAUUUUGGUGAUAUGCCUCUUUUGCGCACCAUCACGGAGAUAUUUGGUCCAUCAAUAUGGUUUAAUGCAAUUGUAGUUCUAACUCAUGCAGCAUCUGCUCCACCUGAUGGUCCAAAUGGUACUACUUCAACUUACGAUAUGUUUGUCACUCAACGUUCUCAUGUUGUUCAACAAGCAAUCCGUCAGGCAGCUGGUGAUAUGAGGCUCAUGAAUCCAGUUUCAUUAGUAGAGAAUCACUCAGCAUGUAGAACAAAUAGGGCUGGGCAGAGAGUGUUGCCAAAUGGUCAGGUUUGGAAACCUCAUCUGUUAUUGCUCUCUUUUGCAUCAAAGAUACUUGCUGAAGCAAAUACACUCCUGAAGUUGCAAGAUAGUCCACCUGGGAAGCCUUUUGCAGCUAGAUCUAGGGCACCUCCUUUACCAUUCCUGCUCUCAUCCCUUCUCCAGUCAAGACCACAACUUAAGCUGCCUGAGGAACAGUUUGGUGAUGAGGAUAGUCUUGAUGAUGAUUUGGAAGAGUCAUCGGAUUCCGAGGACGAGUCUGAAUAUGAUGAUUUGCCACCAUUUAGAAGUUUGACGAAGGCCCAGGUUGCCAAGCUUACUAGAGCUCAGAAAAAGGCAUAUUUUGAUGAGUUAGAAUACAGGGAAAAACUUUUUAUGAAGAAACAGUUGAAGGAAGAGAAGAGGCGAAGAAAGAUAAUGAAGAAAAUGGCAGCCGCAGCUAAGGAUCUGCCCAGUGAUUAUGCGGAAAAUUUAGAAGAAGAAAGUGGCGGUGCUGCAUCUGUGCCAGUUCCCAUGCCAGAUUUAGCCUUGCCUGCUUCGUUUGAUUCUGAUAAUCCCACUCAUCGCUAUCGUUAUCUUGAUAACUCCAACCAGUGGCUCGUAAGGCCUGUUCUAGAAACUCAUGGUUGGGAUCAUGAUGUUGGUUAUGAAGGAAUAAAUGUAGAAAGAGUGUUUGUAGUUAAAGACAAAAUUCCCAUAUCUUUGUCCAGCCAGGUAACAAAAGAUAAGAAGGAUGCCAAUGUUCAAAUGGAAUUAGCAAGUUCUGUAAAGCAUGGGGAGGGGAAAUCGACUUCCCUAGGUUUUGAUAUGCAGACAGUGGGAAAGGACUUGGCUUAUACUUUACGUAGUGAGACUAGAUUCAGUAAUUAUAGGAAGAACAAGGCAACAGCCGGUCUCUCGUUCACUCUCUUGGGUGAUGCCUUAUCAGCUGGAUUGAAAGUUGAAGAUAAAUUGAUUGUUAAUAAACGGUUUCGGAUGGUUGUAUCUGGUGGUGCCAUGACUGGCCGUGGCGAUGUAGCUUAUGGUGGCAGUUUGGAGGCUCAACUGAGGGACAAGGACUAUCCUUUGGGGCGUUCCCUUUCAACACUUGGGCUAUCUGUCAUGGAUUGGCAUGGAGAUCUUGCUGUUGGUUGCAAUAUACAAUCACAAGUCCCCAUAGGGCGGUCUACAAAUUUAAUUGCUCGUGGGAAUUUGAAUAACAAGGGAGCAGGGCAAAUCAGUAUCAGAGUAAAUAGCUCAGAACAGCUUCAAAUAGCUUUAGUUGGCCUCCUUCCUUUGUUGAAGAAGAUAUUUGGUUACCCUCAACAAAUGCAGUAUUGACAAUGAUGAAAACUAUGUUAUAUCCGCCACAGCAAUCGGGGGAUGAUAGGCAACUUUAAACUUGUUCUGAUAUGCCAUUUGAUGGUGGUCAUUGUUGAAAGACUUAGUUCCCGGUGACUGAGGACAGCAGAUGAUGGCGGCAGUGGUGAUGGAGGUGGAAGUGAUUAGCAGACUAGCUUGAAUGUCUUGGUGUUUGUGUGUAUUAUUCAUUUGCGAAUUUCUUCCCUCUCUAGAAGGUUAGAAGUUCACAAGAGAACUUCUCCCUCAAAUUUGUAAGGUGUUUUUCUUUUCCCUCUCUGAAAUUGGCUAAAUUUUUCUUUGUAUUUGGAAAUGUGUUUUUUAUUAGUUAAAUUGUUAAACAAAAUGACAGCGCAAAUUAGUUUUUAUAGAAGACUUCUUUAAUGGGA